rnacentral:rRNA from 1 species
UACGAAGGGGGCUAGCGUUGCUCGGAAUCACUGGGCGUAAAGGGUGCGUAGGCGGGUCUUUAAGUCAGGGGUGAAAUCCUGGAGCUCAACUCCAGAACUGCCUUUGAUACUGAGGAUCUUGAGUUCGGGAGAGGUGAGUGGAACUGCGAGUGUAGAGGUGAAAUUCGUAGAUAUUCGCAAGAACACCAGUGGCGAAGGCGGCUCACUGGCCCGAUACUGACACUCAGACCCGAAAGUGCGGGGAUCAAACAGG